ensembl:lncRNA
CAGAAAAUGGUGCAUGUUGGCAGAUUGUGUACAGACUAUGAACCUCUUCUUCUGUCUGAUUUUCUAGAACCAAACAUUACACUGUUAUUAUUAAAGACUCGGACAGAGGUUUUAUCUACAGGACGUGACGUCCUUUCUGAAUCCGUUUGUUGAUGCAGAUGGAAAUUUUCCUCCUGUUUUGAUCUCUUCAGCUGAGAAAUAUUUUAUAUUUUGACUAAAUAAUUUUUGCUCUGUGACUUGUGGGGUCUGGGAGCGGUCCACGGUGGUGUCUCGUGCUUUGGUAGGGUGUCGGAGUGGUCCACGGUGGUGUCUUGUGCUUUAGAAAGGUCCGGGAGCGGUCCACGGUGGUGU